rnacentral:lncRNA from 1 species
CAUAUAAAACUGCAUAUAAAUUUUUUCCUAUCCAAAAUAUAUGUGGUUAAUAAUAUCAUCCUCAUUUUCAAGUCAUAUAUACUUGUCCCAUACAUACCAAAUCAGAACCGGAAGCGUGUUUCUUCUUCAUCAAUAAUAUCAUCCUCAUUUUCAAGUCAUACUUGUAUAUAUAGUACUCUAAUUCAUUCAAGCGUUUCACUACAUCCAACAAAGUGUUCGUUCUCCCAAAUCAUCAAUCCAAAAUUAAGGUAAGAAUUAUCUCAUUUUUACAUGCACAUGCAUCUCUUCAAUUUUCUGUUGUUUGUGAAUAAAACAGUUAUAAAUCAACUGAUAUUGUUUGUUGAAUUAAUAUAAAACUGUACCUGUAAGUACAUGAUGAUAUGGCAACUGUAACUGUAAGUACAUGAUGAUAUGGCAACUGUAACUGUAAGUACAUGAGUAUAAAUGAACUUAAUUCAUCCCAUAUAAAGACUUUCCGGUAUUUAAAGAAACUUUUUUUUGGUUUUUUCUAAUUUACCUUUUAUAAUUUGGGGUAUUAACCAUCAACCAAUAAGAAUAAACUAUGUGUAUGUGAAAUAAAAGUUGGUUACAAGUUAUUUGUGGGCGUCACAUGCAAAUUUACUUAUGUGGUUUGUUCUCAUUAUUUGUUAGGCAAAUAUCCCCAUGUAAAUAAUGACACCUUUAAAGGAAUGAAGAUGUUCCAAAUCACCUCGUGUUGCUCCAACUCGCACACUUGAUUCUCUUUAGAUAACAAAUGAUAAGCUUCUUUAACCGAAUAACCUUCGUAGGGAUCAAGUUGUCAUUUCCAAGAAUCAAUAAUACUCACCUGCAAAAUUAUUUACCAGAGUAGCACAACAUUCCACAACUAGAUAUAUCCUCCUCCCAAGCAAACAACCACCUUCGCCACCUCCAACCCCCACCUUCGACCCCCAAACCCUGCCAAUACAUCUCAGCUAUAGAGAUAUUUUUAUGUAACGACAAAUUAAAAAGUAAAGCUAUCACCUAAAGGAGCGUCCCCAACCACAUAUCCUUCCAAAAUAACGUAUUUUCCACAUUUUCCACUACCCUCUUUACAUUCUCCUCAAACCACCUUCAUACGCUCAAACCAACACCAUCUCUAACAUCCGCUAAAGCCCUUCUCCCCCCUCCUUUGAUUUUUCCAUCUUCCAACCCGGCUAUACUUCGCCACUAAAACCUUAUACUACAAGCUGGUCUCUUGAUUAACAUAUAUCCUCCAACACCAUUUACAUCCAACAAUGCAUAAUUAAACUCCCUAAUCUUACACAACUCUAACCCUCCUUUGUGGUGAACAAAUUUUAUCCCAGCUAAUCCAAUUAAUUUUUCUAGAAUCCUCACUCCCCCUCCCAUAAAUUUUUUUAAAAUAAGAGAUUAAAGGGAAAAAAUUAUACUUGUUGGAGCCUUGAAGAAGGAAAGAAAGUACACCGGAAUCGAAGACAAGACAUAUUUUAGCAUGACAAGGCGACCACCCAUCCAUAAAAAUCUACUCUUCCAAGUAGAAAGCUUUUUACGAAUACGAUCAACCAGCGGAAACCACAAAUCCAAACAACAAGGAUUACCUCCAAUUGGAAUGUUCAUUAUGCGAGAUGUAUUAUUGUGCAAGAUUAAAUAAUUUUGAGAACGGUUGAUUUAGACAUGUCACCUCAAUAUUUGAUGUCUUUAAUGAGUUUUCAUAGAAUUUCAUUACUUUUAAUCAUUCAAUAUCAUCAUAUUAAAAUCGAAGUAUGUCACAUCAUUUACAAUAUAUUAAAUCAUCAUUUCUAAAUACCAAAAUCUAAUUGAGGUUCAAAACUGAGCGAUUUUAAAAUUCGGGAACCACUUUCGUGAGCGGGUGAAAAUAGAAGGAUCAAAACCAUAAUUAAGUCUGUAGUUUAUGAGAAAAGGAAAGAUAUAUAGUCAAUUUGAAAUCAUUUUAUUUUUUGACAAUUUGAAAUGUUAUCAGCCUAAAAAAGAGGAUUCAUCACUUGAAGGAAAAA